rnacentral:rRNA from 1 species
UACGUAGGUGGCAAGCGUUAUCCGGAUUUAUUGGGCGUAAAGGGAACGCAGGCGGUCUUUUAAGUCUGAUGUGAAAGCCUUCGGCUUAACCGGAGUAGUGCAUUGGAAACUGGGAGACUUGAGUGCAGAAGAGGAGAGUGGAACUCCAUGUGUAGCGGUGAAAUGCGUAGAUAUAUGGAGGAACACCAGUGGCGAAGGCGGCUUACUGGACUGUAACUGACGUUGAGGCUCGAAAGCGUGGGGAGCAAACAGG